rfam:Fusarium oxysporum f. sp. cubense race 4 unplaced genomic scaffold scaffold171, whole genome shotgun sequence.
GCGUGAUUAGUUUAGUGGCAAAAUCCUCCUCUCCCAUGGGAGGGUCCCGAGUUCGAUUCUCGGAUCACGCA